rnacentral:rRNA from 1 species
UACGAAGGGGGCUAGCGUUGCUCGGAAUCAUUGGGCGUAAAGCGCACGUAGGCGGAUUGUUAAGUCAGGGGUGAAAUCCUGGAGCUCAACUCCAGAACUGCCUUCGAUACUGGGAGUCUUGAGUUCGGGAGAGGUGAGUGGAACUGCGAGUGUAGAGGUGAAAUUCGUAGAUAUUCGCAAGAACACCAGUGGCGAAGGCGGCUCACUGGCCCGAUACUGACGCUGAGGUGCGAAGGCGUGGGGAGCAAACAGG